CCUAUCUCAGGGUUCUUUUCAGGCAGAAGAAGAGAAGAAAGCCUUUCUCCUGUUUCACUGUUAAUGCUGAUGCCGACUCCUUUCUUUGGUGUUAACCUUUCAAGAAUUCCAAUUGUUAUUUCAUUCUGUUACAGACUUCAUUCUCUACAUUGGUUGCAAUUUGUACUUGAACUAAUUCCCACAAAACAUCUACUUUUCCUUUUCUACAUUUGCUGUAUAAUCUAAUACAAUUUUUGAUAGAGUAAACCUCCAGAUGUGAUUAAAUUGGUACAGAAAGACUGCAGCCCUAACACACACAAACACUUAGGCACACACUGUUAUAGACUAAAAUUAAGAGGUACAUUUCUUCUUGUUAAACUCCCAUUUUCCCUCCCUUAUUUCACGCUUCACUCUAUUUCUU